rnacentral:rRNA from 1 species
GUCCACGCCGUAAACGUUGGGAACUAGGUGUUGGCGACAUUCCACGUCGUCGGUGCCGCAGCUAACGCAUUAAGUUCCCCGCCUUGGGAGUACGGCCGCAAGGCUAAAACUCAAAGGAAUUGACGGGGGCCCGCACAAGCAGCGGAGCAUGUGGCUUAAUUCGACGCAACGCGAAGAACCUUACCAAGGCUUGACAUACACCGGAAAGCUGCAGAGAUGUAGCCCCCCUUGUGGUCGGUGUACAGGUGGUGCAUGGCUGUCGU